rnacentral:misc_RNA from 1 species
AAAAGUUGUCGGUAAGUAUGAAUCUAUAGACACUACAGUAGAGUAAGUGAGUAGCUUAAAAACCCUGGACCGAAGCCGCUUUGCCUUAACAAAGAGAAAGUAGAAAUUCUUUAACGUUACUGAAUGAGAUGUAAAUAAAAAUAUGGUGUCUAGAUACAGUCCACCUUUAGUUACAUUUGCCCUCUCUGCCAUACUUGGGAGUUGUAAAACAACUACUGGUAGGCCUAGUCUUAGAAGACACAGCUGCCUGCUCAUAAAUCCACUUAUUCAUCAUACUAACCAGACGUGUUGGAUUGGAACACAAUUUCUAUCCACCAUGAAGGCUAAGACCGUUUUGAAGGCUGUUCUCUCCGUGGAGCAGGAUGAGGGUGUUGGGGCUAGAGUCAGGCGGAGUGUAGGAAGGCCAGAGCUCAAAAACUUUGAUCCAUUCCUGAUGCUAGAUGAGUUUAAGGGUAAAGCUCCAGGAGGUUUUCCGGAUCACCCACACAGAGGCUUUGAAACGGUCACAUAUGUCAUAAAGGGAAGUAUUCGUCAUGAGGAUUUCUGUGGACACAAAGGCAUAAUUGGAGCUGGAGACCUACAAGUGAGUACAUCUACUGGAUACUAGGCUUAUGUUGUAUGCAACUUCAAGUAAAGCUUUACAGAUGAACUAUGGAUGACCGCUGGCCGAGGAAUAGUCCACUGUGAGAUGCCACACGGGGAGGGGGAGGUUCAUGGCCUUCAGUUGUGGGUCAACCUAGCUAAGAAAUACAAGAUGAUUGAGCCAGCGUACCAAGAACUUCUAGACAAGGACAUCCCAAGGGCAACUAAAGAUGGAGUCACAGUCAAGGUCAUUGCUGGGGAAGCAUUUGGUAUAAAGUCCAAGGUGUACACUCGCACUCCUACAAUGUAUUUGGAUUUUAAGUUGACACCUGGAUCUAAACUGGAGCAGCCCAUUCCAGUUGGCUGGAGGUCUUUUCUGUACAUUCUCUCUGGAAAGGCGAAGUUUGGACCAACAGGAAACCAGAAGGAGAUAGAGGCCCACCACACAGUGACCUUCAACGACGAUGGCGAUUCCAUAAGUGUGGACAAUUCAGGGUCAACAGAGUGUCAUCUGGUGAUGAUUGCUGGAGAACCAGUCAAAGAGCCUAUCGUCCAGUAUGGACCUUUUGUAAUGAACACUCAAGAGGAUAUACAGAAGACUUUUCGCGACUAUCAGUUGGGAAAAAAUGGUUUUGAGAAUGCUCCUAAAUGGCAGUCGGAUUAUGUGAAGAAUCGUGAAUAAGUGCCAGCCUCUGUCACUCCAGUAACCAUGGUAACCUCAUUUAUCAUUUGUGUAGGACCUUUUGUCAUGACUUCUGAAGAGGAAAUCCUGGAGGCAAGGAAAGACUACCAGUUUGCCAGAAAUGGGUUUGAGAAGGCCCAUACAUGGAAUUCCUUCAUUGUAACAGAAGAUGAAUCUGAACAAACAUUUUCUUGAUUGUGAGGAAAAAUUGUUUUGUUGUUUUGUCUUAUGAACUAACAUAUACUAAUGUCUUUCAUAUGCAAACACUAUGUUGGUGUAUCUGUAUUCAUUUGUUUGGUAUACACAUAUUUUUGUUGUUGUUAAUACAUACCGGUAUUUAAAGUUGCAUUGCAUCUUUGAGUGUGUUAAGGUGAUGAUUGAUAUAUUUAUUACUGGUAUAUUGCACAUGUAUUGUGUCUAUGAUCAUUAGUUGAAUCUCACAAUAGACCAACUACCGUUGUUGGCUUAAUUUUUUGCAUUAAUUUUCUAGUAACUGUUGUAAAAACUUUUGUAAAUACUAUACUACAUGUAUGUAUAAUGAUAAUUAAUCUAAAUAAAGAUUUAUUGCAAAACGAGAAAUCUUGAAAUAAAAUCAUACGUAAAAAA